rnacentral:rRNA from 1 species
AGCGAACGUUAGCGGCGCGCCUAACACAUGCAAGUCGCACGAGAAAGGGAUUCGUCCCCGGUACAGUGGCGCACGGGUGAGUAACACGUGGGUAACCUUCCCAGACGUGGUGGAUAACCUGCCGAAAGGCGGGCUAAUACAGCAUAAGACCACGAGGCUACGGCCUUGAGGUUAAAGCAGGCUUCUGUUUACAAGCUUGCGCGUUUGGAUGGGUCCGCGUCCCAUCAGCUAGUUGGUGAGGUAACGGCUCACCAAGGCUACGACGGGUAGCUGGUCUGAGAGGAUGGCCAGCCACACUGGAACUGAGACACGGUCCAGACUCCUACGGGAGGCAGCAGUGGGGAAUCUUGCGCAAUGGGCGAAGGCCUGACGCAGCGACGCCGCGUGGGCGACGAAGG